rnacentral:rRNA from 1 species
CCUACGGGAUGCUGCAGUGGGGAAUAUUGCACAAUGGGGGAAACCCUGAUGCAGCAACGCCGCGUGAGUGAAGACGUAUUUCGGGAUGUAAAGCUCUAUCAGCAGGGAAGAAGAAAGACGGUACCUGACUAAGAAGCCCCGGCUAACUACGUGACAGCAGCCGCGGUAAUACGUAGGGGGCAAGCGUUAUCCGGAUUUACUGGGGGUAACGGGAGCGUAGACGGCUGUGCAAGUCUGAAGUGAAAGCCCGUGGCUUAACCGCGGAACUGCUUUUGAAACUGUGUAGCUUGAGUACUGGAGAGGGAGGCGGAAUGCGUAGUGUAGCGGUGAAAUGCGUAGAUAUUAGGAGGAACACCAGUGGCGAAGGCGGCCUGCUGGACAGAAACUGACGUUGAGGCACGAAAGCGUGGGGAGCAAACAGGAUUAGAUACCCCUGUAGUC